rnacentral:rRNA from 1 species
UACAGAGGGUGCGAGCGUUAAUCGGAAUUACUGGGCGUAAAGCGCACGUAGUCGGCUUUGCAAGUCGGGUGUGAAAUCCCCGGGCUCAACCUGGGAACUGCAUCCGAGACUGCAUUGCUAGAGUAUGGGAGAGGGAAGCGGAAUUUCUGGUGUAGCAGUGAAAUGCGUAGAUAUCAAGAGGAACACCUGCGGCGAAGGCGGGUUGCUGGGCCGACACUGACGCUGAGGCGCGAAAGCCAGGGGAGCGAACGGG